UGGGGAAUAUUGGACAAUGGGCGCAAGCCUGAUCCAGCCAUGCCGCGUGAGUGAUGAAGGCCCUAGGGUUGUAAAGCUCUUUCACCGGUGAAGAUAAUGACGGUAACCGGAGAAGAAGCCCCGGCUAACUUCGUGCCAGCAGCCGCGGUAGUACGAAGGGGGCUAGCGUUGUUCGGAUUUACUGGGCGUAAAGCGCACGUAGGCGGACUUUUAAGUCAGGGGUGAAAUCCCGGGGCUCAACCCCGGAACUGCCUUUGAUACUGGAAGUCUUGAGUAUGGUAGAGGUGAGUGGAAUUCCGAGUGUAGAGGUGAAAUUCGUAGAUAUUCGGAGGAACACCAGUGGCGAAGGCGGCUCACUGGACCAUUACUGACGCUGAGGUGCGAAAGCGUGGGGAGCAAACAGG
rnacentral:rRNA from 1 species